GAGAGGGUGUAUGGACCACCAAGAUGCGAACAGAGCUAAUCUGAAGGAUGAAUUCCCGGUACUUCACAAUGAGGUAUUGGUUGAUUAUAUGGCUCAGGUCUCAGUGUUUAUCUUCAUGGAUGGCUUCUUGGCCAAGACCAGAUUGAAUUGCUGCCAGAUGAUAUGAAGUAAGCCAGGUCCAUCACACAAGGGGCACCUUCUCGUUCUAAGGUGAUGUCGUUCAAUCACAAGAGGCCGGUGCCACGUAUCANNN
rnacentral:lncRNA from 1 species